CGCUCCUCAACUCAACUCUCUCUCUCUCUCUCUUUCUCUCUCUCUCUCUCUCAAUCUCAAACCCUAGCCGCGCCUUAAACCCGCUCUGCUCUACCUCCCCUCUCUCUCUCCAUCUCCGCUCGUCUCCUCCCCCUCCACCGGACGCCGCCACCGGACGCCGACGCCGAAGCCGACGCCACCUCCAAGCUAGGGUUUGGAGAUGCGGCUCCGACGAGUAAUGGCGAUCUAGGUUUCCCAUGAUCGGCUCCAAGAAGCGGAGCAUAGAGUGAUGGCGUUAUCUAGGGUUUUGAGGAGUAUUGCUCGACCUUUGGCUGCUACUCUCUCUCCACCUCCCUCCCUCUCACUCUUGAGUAAGGCUUCGUCUACCCCUCUUCCUCCAUUUGAUCUGGCAAGAGGAGGAUUUGCCCCGACAAUUGGGAAGGUUUUGAAUACGGCGAGGUUUUGUUCUACGGCAACGAUCGGAAGCUCCUUUGGUAGCUUAACUGAUACUAGGUUCCCGAAGAGAAGGCCCGGGACGAAGCCUCGGAGGAAGAGGGCGAGCCUCAGACCUCCAGGUCCUUACGCAUGGGUCCAGUAUGUGCCUGGAGAAGAAAUACCUAGAAGUCGGCCUAACGAAGGAAGUAUCAAGGCCAGGGGAAGGAAGAGAAAGAAGCGCAUCAUGCAGAGGAAAGCAUUUAUACUGUCUGAGAAGAAGAAACGCAAAGCUCAAUUAGCGGAGGCUCGAAAGAGAAAGGAAAUGAAGAGGAUAGAGAGGAAGAUGGCUGCAGUGGCAAGAGAAAAAGCUUGGGCAGAAAGGUUGAUAGAACUGCAACAGCUUGAGGAGGCAAAGAAGGCGGCAAUGUCUUAGCUUUAAUGUUAUGGAUGGUAUUGAGACCAACAGUUUUGAAAUCCUACUAUUAUCAUCAUAUCUUGGUUUACAACAAAUGAAUCUGUCAUUAUUAUGCUCAGACAGAGCUUUUCGAUGCUGUUUCUGUAGCCUUGACGAAGCUCUCGGAUGUAGAUGUCAAGAACUGAAAUGCGGUGGCACAAAUUUCCUGGUCACGAUACUUGGAUUCAUGCUGCAGAGUGCAUGUUUGUGUUUCAGAAUAAUGAGAGAGAUUUUUUUCAAACUCUUUUGUUGUGUGUUCCAGUCAAAAAUCUGAUGUUUCUUCAAAUGUAAUCUGUAAGGUUCUAAUAUUCAAAAUCUCUCUGGAAAAAUAUAGCUGCAAAUGGAAUGUCUUCUUUAUUUUCUUCAAUGAUUAAAUAUCGGAGUAACAAUAUGAUAAGAUA